CCUACGGGAGGCAGCAGUGAGGAAUAUUGGUCAAUGGACGCAAGUCUGAACCAGCCAUGCCGCGUGCAGGAAGACGGCUCUAUGAGUUGUAAACUGCUUUUGUACGAGGGUAAACGCAGAUACGCGUAUCUGUCUGAAAGUAUCGUACGAAUAAGGAUCGGCUAACUCCGUGCCAGCAGCCGCGGUAAUACGGAGGAUUCAAGCGUUAUCCGGGUUUAUUGGGUUUAAAGGGUGCGUAGGCGGUCGGAUAAGUUAGAGGUGAAAUUCGGGGGCUCAACAUCAGAAUUGCCGCUGAUACUGUUGGGCUAGAGAGUAGUUGCGGUAGGCGGAAUGUAUGGUGUAGCGGUGAAAUGCGUAGAUAUCAGGAAGAACACCGACGGCGAAGGCAGCUUACUGAACUAUAACUGACGUUGAGGCACGAAAGCGUGGGGAGCAAACAGGAUUAGAUACCCGUGUAGUC
rnacentral:rRNA from 1 species